rnacentral:rRNA from 1 species
GACGUCGAUCGACCAUGGAAAGGAUCUCCUACCCCGUGCGACGCUAUUGAUAGACAAUUGUUCUCGAGUUGUUCCUCUAUUCAGUUGGGUGAUGGUCGGCUUGCGCUGUUCUGGAUGGACAGAUGGAUGCAUGGGGAGGCCCCUUAUUUGAUUGCACUGGAGAUUUUCAAGCUGGCGCGUUUCAAGAAAAUUACUGUCAAAAAGGCUUUGACAAACGGCCGGUAGAUGGAAGGUCUGCAAAGAAUGAACAGCGAAGAGCAGCUAGCACAAUUUGUCAGAAUUUGGGAGGAGCUUCAGCUGGUGAGCCUUUCGGAAGCAAAGGAUGUGAUCAGAUGGUCACUCACGACAAACGGCUCCUACUCGGCGUGCUCUGCGUAUGGCAUCCAGUUUGCGGCCAGGAUCGAGCAGCCAGAUCUUGAGAGAAUAUGGAGAUGCAAGAUGGAGGGGAAGGUCAAAUUUUACCUUUGGUUACUCCUGCAGAAUAGGAACUGGACGGCGGAUAGACUGCUAGCGCGGAAUUGGCCGCAUAAUGAUCGGUGCAAGUUGUGUGAGCCUGAAUCUGGAAUGCAUUUGACGCUGGGGUGUUCUUUUGCAAAGGAGAUAUGGUUCCACUUCCAGAGAUCUAACAUUAGGAUGUGGCGUAUUGCGUCUUCGGCUAGCUCGAUUACUGAUUGGUGGAGAAGGCUAUGCUCCGGACGCGGUCCGAAGAACAAGGUGCAGGAGGAUAUCACGUUGGCGGCCGCACCUGUGGAAGGAGCGCAAUAG